GCCAGCAUGGUGUAGUGGUUUGAGUGUUGGACUACGACUCUGGAGACUAGGGUUCAAUUCCUUACGUGGCCA